rnacentral:rRNA from 1 species
GACGAACGCUGGCGGCGUGCUUAACACAUGCAAGUCGAACGGUGAAGGGACCGGUUUUUGCUGGUUCUGGAUGAGUGGCGAACGGGUGAGUAACACGUGAGUAACCUGCCCCCUUCUUCUGGAUAACCGCAUGAAAGUGUGGCUAAUACGGGAUAUUCUGCGCCUGCUGCAUGGUGGGUGUGGGAAAGAUAUUGUUUCGGUGGGGGAUGGGCUCGCGGCCUAUCAGCUUGCUGGUGGGGUGAUGGCCUACCAAGGCGGUGACGGGUAGCCGGCCUGAGAGGGUGGACGGUCACACUGGGACUGAGACACGGCCCAGACUCCUACGGGAGGCAGCAGGGGGGAAUAUUGCACAAUGGGCGCAAGCCUGAUGCAGCGACGCCGCGUGAGGGAUGGAGGCCUUCGGGUUGUAAACCUCUUUCGCCAGUGAAGCAGGCCUGUCCCUUUUGUGGGUGGGUUGACGGUAGCUGGAUAAGAAGCGCCGGCUAACUACGUG